GCGGGGGUGGUGGAAUUGGUAGACACGCUGGAUUUAGGUUCCAGUGUCGUAAGACGUGAGAGUUCGAGUCUCUCUCUCCGCACCA
rnacentral:tRNA from 1 species